GUGCUUACUUCUGCAAGACAUAUACUAAAUCUAGAACGACACAGAGAAGAUUAGCAUGGCCCCGCACAAGGGUGACACAUAAAUUCAUGAAACAUUCCAUAUAUUU
ensembl:snRNA U6 U6 spliceosomal RNA